GGUUCUGAAGCAAUGUUUGCUGAUUUGGGGCAUUUCAACCAGUUGUCAAUACAGAUUGCUUUUACAUGCAUGGUGUAUCCAGCAUUGAUCCUUGCAUACAUGGGACAAGCUGCUUAUCUGUGUAAGCAUCA